rnacentral:tRNA from 2 species
GCCGCCAUAACUCAGUUGGUAGAGUGCAUGGCUGUUAACCAUGAUGUCACAGGUUCGAGCCCUGUUGGCGGCG